UCAUAAUUAUCACGGACUUUGUCAUAAAAGAUCACAACAAAUAAAUUUGCACAUACUGCAAAUCAGCACCACACCACAACAUAUACAGUCACAACCACAAUCGAUUACAAUUAACGAAUACUUGGUCACAAUUAAUCAUAGUUAACACAAACUUGGUUAUCAGAGGGUUACCACAAAUAAAUCUACACACUACAGCACAACGCCACAACCCAUCACCACCACAAUCCAAAACAGAAAGCCGGACUGGAUCUAAUAUAGUAUCCCAACUGAGUACAUCCAACUAUAGAUUCAGUAAAAGCACAUAAGAUGAUGCAUCUUCAUGUCAAUUUAUAGAUCUUGACCCUGUUAACUUCGCCAUCUGUGAAAAUUCCAUCUGCACCAUCAACACUAAAAUCUCGGCCACCAAGUGCUAAAGCAACUCCACCUUCACCACCAAUUUUUUCCCCACCACCACUAGUGUACUCAGAUCCACCGUCACCUAUCUACUCACCUCCGCAGCCAGUCCCCACCCUACCCCCAAUACCUAAAUUCCCACCCCCAUAUCCUCUACCUCCAAUACAGUCACCACCACCACCACGUAUACCUAAAGAGGAAAAUAGGCAAAGAACCCAUUUUAGCAAGGGCGAGACUGGCUCGAGCCACGUUGAUUAAUCUAACCACCAGAAAUUGCAAUUGCAUUGGAAAACAGAAAAAAGCUCUAUCAAAGUGCUCAUGGCUCAGACUUGC
rnacentral:lncRNA from 1 species